rnacentral:lncRNA from 1 species
GUUCAUUGAUAUCUUCCUAUUUCUUUGGUAAUUUGCCUCUGCCACUUGACAUUCUGGCCUGCUUUCUUGCUUACUCUUGGUUAUCUUUGUUCUUAUUGUUUGCAUCAUGUUGUUAUCAUGCCAUAAACUGGUUCAAACUGCUUUGAAUUAUCAUGGCGACUGUGAUGUUAUGUGUUGUUUGCUAGCAUGGCAAUCUCCAUUUAUCUUUUCUUAAGUGCACUUUGAGAUUCUUAUAUAUCGUUCUUAUGGAUUUAGAUCUUGUCAGUGUGAGUAGUGGUAUCAUUUUAUUUUUCCGUUUAAAUUCCUUUGAGGCGCUAUGAAGUUCUAGUAGAUGAGGAAUUCUAACGCAUGUGCCACCAAAAAAGUCUUGAAGGUUUAGGUGGUUAUGGCUCACACACGCGGCGGCAACUCGGUUUCCACCUGUUUGCAGGUUUUUUUUACCGAGUUUGCCCCGUGUGGGUUGGGUCAUAACCAUGCCUUCAUUGAGGAAAAAAAGAGAGGGGGUGGUGCGUAAAAGAAGUGUUAGGGUGUUCAUCACCUAAGUGAAGUGAUGAGUUUGUGCGCUCUAACACAAGCACAAAGAAGGUGAGAAUCAGUGAACACCCCUCCAUGCAAGUGGGAAAAAUACUCAGACCAGAAUUCCCUUAUUGUUUACUACUUCCGCUUGUGUCACGAAGGUAAGAUAAUGGAAACGAAAUGAUAUUCUCCACUGGCAAGGUUUAUUUUCAUUAGCACGAUAUGUGUGAAUGUCACUUGUAGUUCUUUACGGGACAUUGGUUUUUUAUUGUGUGGUCAGGCUUGACACAUGCCAUAAACUGGUUCAAACUGCUUUGAAUUAUCAUGGCGACUGUGAUGUUGUGUGUUGUUUGCUAGCAUGACAAUCUCCAUUUAUCUUUCCUUCAGUGCACUUUGAGAUUCUUAUAUAUCGUUCUUAUGGAUUUAGAUCUUGCCAAUGUGAGUAGUAGUAUCAUUUUAUUUCUCCGUUUAAACUCCUUUGAGGCGCUAUGAAGUUCUAGUAGAUGGGGAAUUCUAACGCAUGUACCAUCAAAAAAGUCUUGAAGGUUUAGGUGGUUAUGGCUCACACACGUGGUGGCGACCCGGUUUCCACCUGUUUGCAGGUUUUUUUUAUCGAGUUUGCCCCGUGUGGGUUGGGUCAUAACCAUGCCUUCAUUGAGGGAAAAAAAGAGGGGGUGGUGCGUAAAAGAAGUGUUAGGGUGUUCAUCACCUAAGUGAAGUGAUGAGUUUGUGCACUCUAACACAAGCACAAAGAAGGUGAGAAUCAGUGAACACCCCUCCAUGCAAGUGGGAAAAAUACUCAGACCAGAAUUCCCUUAUUGUUUACUACUUCCGCUUGUGUCACGGUCAUUGGACCCUUGCGGUCCCAUUUGAUAUAUCUUUGAGCGUUUUUGGUGAGUUUCUAGGUCAUGUUCAAUCAUCACCUCGUGGUCUCAUUGCUAAGGUUGGUUUUUGACUAGUUUUAAUUUGAUUUUCACCAGCUCUCAUAAUUUCUUUUACUAUGCAAUAAUUGACCUUCUCCUUUGUACUUGUAGAGUUUAACUGCUUUUGACUCUUCAUUUGACAUGUGCUGCUACAAGCCUUUUGGUGUGAAGGUGGAUUGGAGCUUGGUUGGGAAAGCUUCUCCAUAUGUUUGUCCUCUUCAUUUCGCUACUUCUUCCUUUAUGUUGUUGUGGUUCUAGGAUGUUUGCCCAUCUAUUGGUUUUUGGGUUCAGGGUUUAAUGUCUGGGGUUAGGGGUCUAGCGUCUAGGGUGAACAUUCAGGUAUAAAAAUAAAGGAUUAGUACAGAAAGGCAGAAACCAUGGAUCUGAUCAAAAGGUAUGAUAAACUAGAACAUCUGUAUUUAUCCUUCAUUGUGCUUCAUAUAACAUGAAGAUGGUGGAUAAUCCCAAGUUUCAUUGCAUUUGCAGGGCUAAGGUGAACAUUCAGGUAUAAGAACAAAGGAUCAAUGCAGAAAGGCAGAAACAAUGGAUCUGAUUAGAAGGUAUGAUAAACUAGAACAUUAGUGCUGUUAUUAUCCUUUAUCGUGCUUCAUAUAAGAUGGAAAUGGUGGAUGAUCCCGAGUUUGAUUGCAUUUGCAGGGCUAAGUGGAAGCCUCAAAUAAAGGAGAAAGUAGCAAACAUGCUGCCCUCUGGUGUGGUUAAAAUCUGAGUACUCAUUACGGGUCUGCAAGCACAGCUUGGCAAACUCCUAUUAUAUGUGUAAGUUUACAGACUACAUAUUUUCCUUAAGUAUUCCUUGUCCGAUGAAUGCUGAAAAUAUCAUGAAUAUUCCUUCUUUUACCCGGUGUGAACAUAGUUUCUUGAAAGUCCUAAUUAGUGGCAAGUUAGAUUCAUUUGAAAGUUAUCUUGAAUUUCCAUUCACAUCCGAGAGGUGCUUGCAUGCAAAUCUUAAUGGUGGUGUGGAGUAAUUUGUGUUGUCCACAGUCUAUGGUCAAAACGUUUUGGACAACUGGUUGAAAAGGACAGCAUGUACCAAAAAUGUGCAGGUUCGUAUUCCAUCUCUAAUAUGCUGUUUUCAUCUUUGCUCUUUGAUUUGGACAAUAAGUGUAGGUUGUUUACUCGCUAUUUAACUACAGGUAUAUGUUUUCCUGUUGCUCUUGCAACUCAGGCCUUGAGAAUUCUGCCAGCAUGCCUAGGGAUAUAGCAUAAACAAGUAGUUUCGUUGUUCAAGGUAUGAACAAUGUUUGGAUGCCUAUAUGUGUAUCCAUGAUUCAUGUUCUUUGUCUAAAUCCAGUAAAAUAAGGAUUAUGGAGACGCUAAACUUGCGAAAGAUUUGCAAACAUUUCUAAGGAUCUUGCAGGUGCCAAAUUUGCGAAAGAUUUUCAAACAAGAGAUUUCACAACAAAUCGGUCAGGUGAAUGAUAUUCUUAAAGAUCUUUCAUCCAUGAACAAGGAACCAUGAUCAGCGAGUACCUUCACAAGAAUUUCAGUGAUAUCUUUCCUGUUUCCCCAUCCUUCUCUUCAAUACUUUUGGACAUGUUGCAGAUGAGAGUGGUGCCUGCAUUGAUAACACACAAGCUGCAACUGCACAAGGGAAACAUCAUCUUGUCUAAACAUCAUCUUGUCAAAGCUAUGGAAGUCCCAAAAUCAAACGCGUCCCUGGUAAUUCUCCUCUGCCACUUUUCAUUCUUCCUAUUCUUCUGAUGGUAUUUUUCUGCUGUAGUUCGUAGGUCUUUUACUCUUCGCUACUGUGUGCUUCCUCCUUACUAUGUUGGUCUUCUAACUGCUGACCUGCUUUUGUAACUUACUGGGCUGGUACUGGGGUUUAGGGUAAUUUAUGUACUAGUUACAGGGGUGUAGCGUCUAGGGUGAACAUUCAGAUAUAAGAACAAAGGAUCCGUGCAGAAAGGUAGAAACCGUGUAUCUGAUCAGAAGGUAUGAUAAAUUAAACCGUUGAUGCUGUAAUUAUUCUUUAUUGUGUUUCAUAUAAGAUGGAAAUGGUGGAUGAUUCCAAGUUUGAUUGCAUUUGCAGGGCUGAGUGGUAUUUUUUCAAAUGAAGGAGAAAGUACUGAACAGUGUGUUGCCCCUCUGGUGUGGUUAAAAUCUGAGUACUCAUUACGGGGUCUGCAAGCACAGCUUGACAAACUCCUAUUAUAUUUGUAAGUACAAACUACAUAUCUUCCUUAAGUAUUACUUGUCGGAUGAAUGCUAAAAAUCUCAUAAAUUGUUUGGAUGCCUUAUAUGUGUAUCCAUGAUUCAUGUUUGUUGUUCUAAAUGCAGCAAAAUAAGGAUCUUAGAGACACUAAACUUGCAAAAUAUUUUCAAACAUUUCUAAGGAUCUUGCAGGUGCUAAACUUGCCUCCAUGGUCUCAUAGCUGAGGUUGGUUUUGGACUAGUGUUAGUUUGAUUUUCACUUGCUCUCAUCAUUUCAUUUGGUCUGCCAUAACUGUCUUUCUCCUUUGUACCUGUAGAGUGCAACUGCUUUUGACUCUUCAUUUGGCAUAUUCUGCUACAAGCCUUUUGAUGUGAAGGUAGAUUGGAGCUUGGUAUGUGAAGGCUUUUCCGUGUUACAUGUCUGUAUGUUUGUCCUCUUCAUUUCCCUACUUCUUCCUGUAUGUUGUUGUCACUCUAGGAUGUUUGCUUAUCCAUUGCAGAUGGUGGUGGUGCCCGCAUUGAUACCACAACAACAUCUUGUCAAAGCUACGAAACCCCAAAAUUCAACUCGUCCCUGGUAAUUCAUCUCUGCCACUUGUCAUUCUUCGUAUUUAUGAUGGUAUUAUUUUUCUGAAGUCUGUACGUUUCUGUAGAUGGUCUUUUACUCUUCGAUACUGUGUGCUUCCUGCUUACUAUGUUGGUCUUUUAACUGCUGACCUGCUUUGGUAAAGCUUUUGAUAUCAUUUUGCAGCAUCAUUCUUCUGCUUUUCUUUUCAUUUCAUUUCUUNNNNN